rnacentral:tRNA from 1 species
GGGGUUGUGGCUCAGUGGCAGAGCACUUACCUGGCAUGAGUGAGGCCCUGGGUUCGAUCCUCAGCACCACA